rnacentral:lncRNA from 1 species
AGCAAGCCCUCUUAACCAGCGUGCCAACCUAUUAGCCAAACGAGGUCUAAUUGUAGGUGAAAAAUUGUCCUCGAUUUUCUUUCUUGUCUCACUUCCUUUCAGCAUAAAUAAGAUGCCGAGUGACCAGUGAAACCAGCCUGCAUCCAGCUAUCUUCAGGAACACUAAAGGAAAGGCGGCCUCGGGAGUGUCCUGUCUAGGGACCUGACCCCAGAAGCAUGCACAUUAGCUCUCUGUCACACACGGAGGGCCUGCAGGCUUCUGUGAUUGUCCCCGGGUUUCCAAUGCCUGUCAGUGAGCUAAGAUGACAGAUUUGCCCGUGCUGGUGGGCUGAGGCAGUACGUGUGUGAGCUCACGCCUCUGGAAGCAGUUCCUGUGAUGCUGCUGUGCCCAGCGGUGACUUCGAAGGCAGGAGCUGAGGUGAACACAAAUCCAGGGGAAACGAGGAAGCAGAGGUCUAAGUGACUCCCAGCAUCUCACUGGGCCAGGAAGACACUACCCUGCGUCUUACUCUAUAGUUCUCAUUUUUAGAUGGAGACUUCUGAGCCACUCUGGAGACAAUAGAAACAUCCCCAGGGAUGUCCAAAGUGACAUCCAUUUGCUCAUCCCAACCCCAGACGAUUCUAUCCGUCCUUGGAAACGUGAUGCCAGUUGAAAGUGUAUGGAUUUGUCACUACAAGUUAUGACUAAAUAUGGCUAGUUUCUCAUCCUUAUCAUCGAAGACUUUCAGGAUGUUGACGGUGACCUUGAGAUUCCUCAUUUAGACUGAGCAAAAUCACUGUUGCUUCUGACAAGGAAACAGAAGAGCCAGGCUGACGAACAGUGUCUCCUUGGCUAGAUGGGUUCAGGACCUUCCUAAAACAUUAAAGUGUUGUCUGGC